AUCAACAACUUUAAUUAUUGAAUAUAUACAUGAACAAUAUACAUACAAGAGUUAACAAUCUUCGAUUUAGUCGCUGGUGCUAGCACGCGGGUGACGAAAACUUUGUCUCUAUACACGUAGGGCUUGAUUUAACUUAGCAAGUGUUCUAACAGUGUCUAAUGGCUAACCUCAAAUAGGCGUAUGCUGAGAGGAAUUAAUUCAUAUACAAAUUGGAAAAAAUCGAGGACAUAGGCAGUAAAAAAUGAGACAAUAAAUUUGAAAAUAACCCAUACAGUUUAAAAAUAUGUUUUACAGUCUUUGACUGCCUACGUCCUAUUUAUUCGAUUUAGAUGUAUGCUAGCUUCACUAAAAUCUACAAAGUUCGUAGGAUCAAUUCGUUGAUUACAAAAAUACAUUAAAUUUCUACAUAAUUGAAACAUUAAUUAAAAUUUCUAAAUGAUUUAUCGCAUAAACACGUUUCAGUAACAACAUAACGGUCCGUGACCUAGAGUAAUGCCAAAAUCCGGAUUGCACGAGACGUCAGAUCCUAAACUAUCGAAUAAAGAAUACAGCAACAAAUAUUUGAUAACACAAUGACGCUGCGCCUGUAGCGUUUAUUAUUGUAUGUAUACUCUAUUUCAAAUACGAAGGCCCGAUAGUUGUUGAAACGUAACAAAAUGAUCGCUAAUGUUUGUCUUUUGUUAUCUAAUUAGGAGAAUAGCGAAAGUGAUACCACGCCCAAAAAGGGUCUAGCCAUGUAUCUCUUGUUUUCCUAACCUUAUUGUUAAAGCCUAAUGACUGCCUCAAGUGUUAUCGGGCCUUCGUAUUUGAAAUUGAUUAUACAUGUUGCUCUGAUCGAUCAAAGGUCAAAAUAGACAUACAAAAACAAUUUUAAACCGCCCAUUAUUAACAAAUAAAUUUAAAUAAUCACCAAAUAUAUGUUAGGUACCUACAAACCGAUCUUUGCACAAACAUGAACUAGUCCCAGUGGUUACACAUUAACUCCGUAUGUAAAACUAUCAUACAAACUUAAUUAACACCAACAUGAUAAUAAGGUUAGAAGCGAGCGUAAUAAUAAACUAGGGUUUACAAAACUGGCGUUGAAUAUAAAUAAGUAAAUAAUGGUAUGAAUGGUUUAUAUUAUAU